rnacentral:SRP_RNA from 2 species
ACUGGGCUUGAUAAUGCUUGUCUGUAACUCGAGUGAGGGUAUUAAAGAUAGUUGAACGGUUAACAAUUCCAGUUUGGUUGGUCCGGCCGGUGCGUUAACUGGCUUGACCGUUCCAAGUUGCGAGUUGCGAGUUGGGUCAUGUGGCUUGAGCGAGAGCUUGGGUCACGUGGUCCCUAGAGUAGGUGACAAUGCGUAAGACUGGUUUCACAGAGCUGCGAAAACCCCUCAUUCUCAUUCGUGGCAGGGGCUCUGUAUGGACCAUAUAACCUAACCUCCUGGAAUGUCUCAAUCUAACAAUAAUCUUU